CGUGACUCCGUUCGCACUAGCUAGCGCGUCCAGAUUCCCCUUCUGCCUAAAGCCUACCGUAUGUCUAAAGUCUUCAGCAGUAUUCUCCUCGCAUCGACCCCGCUCGCGCUCUCCAACCGUCCUAGGGAGCGUCGGACGUCCUCCAGCUCUGCUUAGCCACGUGCAGACGCAUUGUGUUUGAUAAAACAAGUGAUAUGAGUACGAAUAGUCAGUCACAGAAUGAGGGCGCCUAUAACUCUCCCUCGUCGGAGUUCACCGGCCCGACGUUACCGGCCCCGGGCGCGCCUGAAUCCGUGGAAGGUGAGCGGGGACAGGCGCGGGGGCGCCCUCAGCAUCGGCAGCGAGCAGGCACGCCCUCCGCACGCGGACUCAGCUGAGUAAGCCCCCCCCCUUAUGGGUGCGCCGCACCCCCGGGGCACGCUAACAGUCGUGGACGCCCUCGCGGCCUUCAACGUGCUGCUCGCCCUCCUACAAGCGUACUUCCCGUCGACGAAGGUUGUCGCGAUGAUUCUCCUCGGAGUUGCAGUGACAGGUGAAGCCACCCCAGGAGGGCAGGAUGGGCAGCACAACGUCACUGCUACUCCGAUUAGGAUCAUCGCGACAACCUUCGUCGACGGGAAGCACGCUUGAAGGAGGGCGAGCAGCACGUUGAAGGCCGCGAGGGUGUCCACGACUGUGAAAAGGGGAGGAUGCCGCUAAGCCAGCUUCUCGUGCGCUGGGCCUGAGGUGAAGCCGCAGAAUGACAGCGCCAGGUGCAGAAACCACGUGACAUCCUCUGCGCAGGUUGUGCGAAAUACGUUGGGCAUCGACUGUUCAGCUGCAUCGAAAGUGUCCCCGGUACUCACCCUUGCUGAACCAUCUCUGCUCUUCCCGCAGCGCCUGGAGCUCGGCGCGUAUUUCGGCCCUGAGUGCUGCCAGCUCCUCCUGGAACUGCUGCGGCUGCUGCGGCUGCUGCGGUACCGCGUCCAUUUCAGCAGUCGGAAUUAAGCAAAGUCUUUCGAGGAGUUAGUGCGUUUCCGGUUUGGUCAGCCGCAGACACUUGAUCCCACAAUUCCAGCGACUUUUGCGACCGGCUCUCCACCGACCGCUUGGAUGCUUGCGCCCGGUCGCUGCCCCAGCUACUUCCGCGGUGAAAUAACAACGGUGAGCACUCUCAACCACUGCGAGGACAGCCCUAGCAACCGCACUGCGUAAGAAGUACAGCAUCGAUUUGCUGCAUGUUGAUUUUGGCGCAAAUGGGGGGUGCAAGCAGUUUGUUUCUCUCAGACGCGAGCUAGCGCCCAAGCGCGCGAUAUGGGGGCGAGGAGCCACUAUGUAGCUGUAACGAUUGCAUGAGUGGCGAAUUUUACUUCGAGGGUCUAGGGUGCGAGCGGAGUGGGAUUACCCCCCGAGGGGCACGCCAUGCGCUCAGGCCCCAUGCAACAGAAAUUCGCCGGGCACCAACCCACGCACAGAUAAUUCAUAGGACUACACCAUAGCCAUCAGAGACCGGCCGGGAACAAGCCCCGCAAGCGGGGCAGCAUGGGCGCGACACCACCCUGCCGCGCCAACUCACCCCAAACACGCCCCAACCACUUGUGCGACACAAGGGCUACCAUACAGUAGCGCGCGACACCUAAUCGCGUGCGCCGGAGUGUGCGAGCAAACAUUGUACGGAGGAGCUCGUUUGGGCCCUAGGACGCAGGGCCUGGGCUGGCAUUUGGUGCAUUCAAUAGAGCAUAGAAAACCGAGGCCACAUAUGUGCUCGGGUGCGCAAAGGUCGGCGGAAUUGUGGGAUCAAGUGACGUGGAAAUGGAUCUGGGGGACUGCGGGGUUUUGGGGUGUGUUGGGUUGGUGGCGUGAAGGGUGUGAUUUGUGAGGAAUUUAUCGAUGCAUGCCAAGUUGCACGCCUUUCCCCUGUGUUUCCUACAUGCCCCUGAACCCUCCCUUUGCUGGCUGCAGGCGAAGCGACAAGUGGUACCGCUGGUACCACCCACGGGGGCCUUGUGCCCAAGCCGGGNNNNNNNNNNNNNNNNNNNNNNNNNNNNNNNNNNNNNNNNNNNNNNNNNNNNNNNNNNNNNNNNNNNNNNNNNNNNNNNNNNNNNNNNNNNNNNNNNNNNUGGUACUAUACACGUGGCGGUCAUCGACAUUGCUUUGUGCCGGCGCGCAGCACCCAGGAUGUGCGGCGAUCGCUGAAAUGCAGUUGUGGGGUCCACACUCAUAUGGCACCCACGCCCCACACAGCACUGAUGCAGGGCUCCUGCAGCCGUCACGCCAUGGGAAUCAGCAUAUGGGCAGUGGCCUGUGCAUACUUCUCUGUGGCCUGGCGGGGCAUCUGGCCAGGGCGUUUGACUAGCGGCAUGGGGCCUGCACGCCGGUAGGGGGGCGCAGGCCCAAAAUGAUGCAAGGAAGCUGAUGUGUUGCGUGAGGUGCGCAGCGGUUCCUGAUGGACGUGGGUGCUUUCAUGCGUAUGUAUAUUGGCUAUGUGUGUUGAUCUUUGCACCAGGGUGGUGUCGCCGCGCAGCGGAGCAUUGGUGUUGGUGCACGGGGCGUGAACAUUGGGGCCCGCAGUUGGGAUCGCGCCGGCACGGUCGCGGGCACCGCUGAAGAUAUGUUGGCGCGACCGGUCGCUUAUGGUGCACGCUAAUACCCGCAUACUGUGUGUAAGCACCGAUUGCAAUUAUAAGUUGCGCAUGUAGAUAUCGGUCUUCUCCCGACAUGCGCUCUGAUGACGGUUCCAUUUCCGCCAACUUAGGGUGAGAGUUAAGAGCCGGAGCCCUGUUGCCACCUGCAAAAUGCCUUAGCAACAUGUGGCAACUAUCUGCCCGAAGCAAGUUGCAAGCCAGCCCAGUUCAGGUUGCCACAUGCCAUGCUGGGUAUUCCCAGCGCGCUAGCGCACCUGCUUGGGCAGCUCGCUAUGGCUGCCGUCGACAGUUGACCCUGGUAUGCCAUCGCUAGAGUCGCAGCCCGCUCCGGCCAACCUCGCUCCUCCGCAACCGACACACGAACCCGACGUCACUUGAUCCCACAAUUCCAGCGACUUUUGCGACCGGCUCUCCACCGACCGCUUGGAUGCUUGCGCCCGGUCGCUGCCCCAGCUACUUCCGCGGUGAAAUAACAACGGUGAGCACUCUCAACCACUGCGAGGACAGCCCUAGCAACCGCACUGCGUAAGAAGUACAGCAUCGAUUUGCUGCAUGUUGAUUUUGGCGCAAAUGGGGGGUGCAAGCAGUUUGUUUCUCUCAGACGCGAGCUAGCGCCCAAGCGCGCGAUAUGGGGGCGAGGAGCCACUAUGUAGCUGUAACGAUUGCAUGAGUGGCGAAUUUUACUUCGAGGGUCUAGGGUGCGAGCGGAGUGGGAUUACCCCCCGAGGGGCACGCCAUGCGCUCAGGCCCCAUGCAACAGAAAUUCGCCGGGCACCAACCCACGCACAGAUAAUUCAUAGGACUACACCAUAGCCAUCAGAGACCGGCCGGGAACAAGCCCCGCAAGCGGGGCAGCAUGGGCGCGACACCACCCUGCCGCGCCAACUCACCCCAAACACGCCCCAACCACUUGUGCGACACAAGGGCUACCAUACAGUAGCGCGCGACACCUAAUCGCGUGCGCCGGAGUGUGCGAGCAAACAUUGUACGGAGGAGCUCGUUUGGGCCCUAGGACGCAGGGCCUGGGCUGGCAUUUGGUGCAUUCAAUAGAGCAUAGAAAACCGAGGCCACAUAUGUGCUCGGGUGCGCAAAGGUCGGCGGAAUUGUGGGAUCAAGUGACGUGGAAAUGGAUCUGGGGGACUGCGGGGUUUUGGGGUGUGUUGGGUUGGUGGCGUGAAGGGUGUGAUUUGUGAGGAAUUUAUCGAUGCAUGCCAAGUUGCACGCCUUUCCCCUGUGUUUCCUACAUGCCCCUGAACCCUCCCUUUGCUGGCUGCAGGCGAAGCGACAAGUGGUACCGCUGGUACCACCCACGGGGGCCUUGUGCCCAAGCCGUGGUGGCGCAUGGUAACUAUACACGUGGCGGUCAUCGACAUUGCUUUGUGCCGGCGCGCAGCACCCAGGAUGUGCGGCGAUCGCUGAAAUGCAGUUGUGGGGUCCACACUCAUAUGGCACCCACGCCCCACACAGCACUGAUGCAGGGCUCCUGCAGCCGUCACGCCAUGGGAAUCAGCAUAUGGGCAGUGGCCUGUGCAUACUUCUCUGUGGCCUGGCGGGGCAUCUGGCCAGGGCGUUUGACUAGCGGCAUGGGGCCUGCACGCCGGUAGGGGGGCGCAGGCCCAAAAUGAUGCAAGGAAGCUGAUGUGUUGCGUGAGGUGCGCAGCGGUUCCUGAUGGACGUGGGUGCUUUCAUGCGUAUGUAUAUUGGCUAUGUGUGUUGAUCUUUGCACCAGGGUGGUGUCGCCGCGCAGCGGAGCAUUGGUGUUGGUGCACGGGGCGUGAACAUUGGGGCCCGCAGUUGGGAUCGCGCCGGCACGGUCGCGGGCACCGCUGAAGAUAUGUUGGCGCGACCGGUCGCUUAUGGUGCACGCUAAUACCCGCAUACUGUGUGUAAGCACCGAUUGCAAUUAUAAGUUGCGCAUGUAGAUAUCGGUCUUCUCCCGACAUGCGCUCUGAUGACGGUUCCAUUUCCGCCAACUUAGGGUGAGAGUUAAGAGCCGGAGCCCUGUUGCCACCUGCAAAAUGCCUUAGCAACAUGUGGCAACUAUCUGCCCGAAGCAAGUUGCAAGCCAGCCCAGUUCAGGUUGCCACAUGCCAUGCUGGGUAUUCCCAGCGCGCUAGCGCACCUGCUUGGGCAGCUCGCUAUGGCUGCCGUCGACAGUUGACCCUGGUAUGCCAUCGCUAGAGUCGCAGCCCGCUCCGGCCAACCUCGCUCCUCCGCAACCGACACACGAACCCGACGUCUGACGUGGAAAUGGAUCUGGGGGACUGCGGGGUUUUGGGGUGUGUUGGGUUGGUGGCGUGAAGGGUGUGAUUUGUGAGGAAUUUAUCGAUGCAUGCCAAGUUGCACGCCUUUCCCCUGUGUUUCCUACAUGCCCCUGAACCCUCCCUUUGCUGGCUGCAGGCGAAGCGACAAGUGGUACCGCUGGUACCACCCACGGGGGCCUUGUGCCCAAGCCGUGGUGGCGCAUGGUAACUAUACACGUGGCGGUCAUCGACAUUGCUUUGUGCCGGCGCGCAGCACCCAGGAUGUGCGGCGAUCGCUGAAAUGCAGUUGUGGGGUCCACACUCAUAUGGCACCCACGCCCCACACAGCACUGAUGCAGGGCUCCUGCAGCCGUCACGCCAUGGGAAUCAGCAUAUGGGCAGUGGCCUGUGCAUACUUCUCUGUGGCCUGGCGGGGCAUCUGGCCAGGGCGUUUGACUAGCGGCAUGGGGCCUGCACGCCGGUAGGGGGGCGCAGGCCCAAAAUGAUGCAAGGAAGCUGAUGUGUUGCGUGAGGUGCGCAGCGGUUCCUGAUGGACGUGGGUGCUUUCAUGCGUAUGUAUAUUGGCUAUGUGUGUUGAUCUUUGCACCAGGGUGGUGUCGCCGCGCAGCGGAGCAUUGGUGUUGGUGCACGGGGCGUGAACAUUGGGGCCCGCAGUUGGGAUCGCGCCGGCACGGUCGCGGGCACCGCUGAAGAUAUGUUGGCGCGACCGGUCGCUUAUGGUGCACGCUAAUACCCGCAUACUGUGUGUAAGCACCGAUUGCAAUUAUAAGUUGCGCAUGUAGAUAUCGGUCUUCUCCCGACAUGCGCUCUGAUGACGGUUCCAUUUCCGCCAACUUAGGGUGAGAGUUAAGAGCCGGAGCCCUGUUGCCACCUGCAAAAUGCCUUAGCAACAUGUGGCAACUAUCUGCCCGAAGCAAGUUGCAAGCCAGCCCAGUUCAGGUUGCCACAUGCCAUGCUGGGUAUUCCCAGCGCGCUAGCGCACCUGCUUGGGCAGCUCGCUAUGGCUGCCGUCGACAGUUGACCCUGGUAUGCCAUCGCUAGAGUCGCAGCCCGCUCCGGCCAACCUCGCUCCUCCGCAACCGACACACGAACCCGACGUCAGACGUGGAAAUGGAUCUGGGGGACUGCGGGGUUUUGGGGUGUGUUGGGUUGGUGGCGUGAAGGGUGUGAUUUGUGAGGAAUUUAUCGAUGCAUGCCAAGUUGCACGCCUUUCCCCUGUGUUUCCUACAUGCCCCUGAACCCUCCCUUUGCUGGCUGCAGGCGAAGCGACAAGUGGUACCGCUGGUACCACCCACGGGGGCCUUGUGCCCAAGCCGUGGUGGCGCAUGGUAACUAUACACGUGGCGGUCAUCGACAUUGCUUUGUGCCGGCGCGCAGCACCCAGGAUGUGCGGCGAUCGCUGAAAUGCAGUUGUGGGGUCCACACUCAUAUGGCACCCACGCCCCACACAGCACUGAUGCAGGGCUCCUGCAGCCGUCACGCCAUGGGAAUCAGCAUAUGGGCAGUGGCCUGUGCAUACUUCUCUGUGGCCUGGCGGGGCAUCUGGCCAGGGCGUUUGACUAGCGGCAUGGGGCCUGCACGCCGGUAGGGGGGCGCAGGCCCAAAAUGAUGCAAGGAAGCUGAUGUGUUGCGUGAGGUGCGCAGCGGUUCCUGAUGGACGUGGGUGCUUUCAUGCGUAUGUAUAUUGGCUAUGUGCUUCCANNNNNNNNNNNNNNNNNNNNNNNNNNNNNNNNNNNNNNNNNNNNNNNNNNNNNNNNNNNNNNNNNNNNNNNNNNNNNNNNNNNNNNNNNNNNNNNNNNNNUGCCUUAGCAACAUGUGGCAACUAUCUGCCCGAAGCAAGUUGCAAGCCAGCCCAGUUCAGGUUGCCACAUGCCAUGCUGGGUAUUCCCAGCGCGCUAGCGCACCUGCUUGGGCAGCUCGCUAUGGCUGCCGUCGACAGUUGACCCUGGUAUGCCAUCGCUAGAGUCGCAGCCCGCUCCGGCCAACCUCGCUCCUCCGCAACCGACACACGAACCCGACGUCACUUGAUCCCACAAUUCCAGCGACUUUUGCGACCGGCUCUCCACCGACCGCUUGGAUGCUUGCGCCCGGUCGCUGCCCCAGCUACUUCCGCGGUGAAAUAACAACGGUGAGCAC
rnacentral:lncRNA from 1 species